rnacentral:lncRNA from 1 species
GGCAUAACCAUGCACUUCCCUGCACUGGCAACCAUCUCUAACCAGUUCUGUUGGGUUUUGUUAGCUCAGCAGUACUGCUUACCGCAGUGAACAGAAUGCGUCCUGCCACACUGAGAUUCAAGGGUUCUUAUGGGGACAGCUCCUGUUCAGUGAUGCCUAGUAUGCUACCCCUGUCUGCACUCUGGAUCUGCUUGGGGGACAAUCCCUGCCCCCUCCACCCAAGGAACCCAGAGAAACCACAUGGUGACAGUGAACCCUCAGGGCUGCGGAUGGCAUCUCCCAGGUUGGGAAAGAUCCUGCCAUGGAGCUCUCGUAUUUCUGGUGUGUUCACUCUGUUCCCACAGGGACCUCAGGAGUUCCACAAGAAGACCAAGCUACACAACUGUCACAUAUAUGCAGGGGUCAGUCCCAUGCAGGCUCCCUGGUUGGUGGUUCACUCUCUGUGAGUCCCUAUGAUCCAGGAUUCCCCUUUAGAAUAUAUUAACAGCUUCUGCCAACCCCACACCUAAGGAUGGCAUCAGGACAACAUCUGCAGCCGAGAGCAGAGACUCCCCUGCUUUUCUGUUACCUACCUCCCUGAUGUUUCCAGCAAGGCAUUUGGAAAAUGCCUUGAUUUAUGACUUUCUUUUGUUCUUCGAG